AGACCCUGAGUGACUGGGAAGGAUUUUACUUGCCCAAGCCUGUGUCUCCAAGGCAAAAAGGGACUGAACCAGCUGAGGAGAAACAGGGACUUUGCCACACUCCCCAUAAAUCAUAGGAGUUAGGCUCAAAUACUUGAAGAGAGUCACAACUGAACCCUGUUGCACCAUCCAGUUUAGGCACAGGAAACUGAGGCACAGAGAAACUACUCAUUUUGCCCAAGAUCACACA